UACGUAGGGAGCAAGCGUUGUCCGGAAUCAUUGGGCGUAAAGCGCGCGUAGGUGGCCAUGUAAGUCCGCUGUGAAAGUCAAAGGCUCAACCUCGGGCCUGCAGUGGGUACGGGCAGACUAGAGUGCGGUAGGGGAGAUUGGAAUUCCUGGUGUAGCGGUGGAAUGCGCAGAUAUCAGGAGGAACACCGAUGGCGAAGGCAGAUCUCUGGGCCGUAACUGACGCUGAGGAGCGAAAGCGUGGGGAGCGAACAGG
rnacentral:rRNA from 1 species